GUAAAAUCCACAUAAAUGUCCAACAAUCACAACCUCUCGUACUCCAAAUACGGACUUCAUACCCGAUAAUGUAAGAUAAAUUCUCUAAGCCGAAUUAAAAUCUUUUCACAAUCUUGUAUAUGAUCAACAACAUAUUUGCGACACUCCCUCGUAUCUAAAGUUUCAUCCUUGUCUCCUUCUCUACACCCUUUUAUAGGAACAUCAUCCAAAAAAG
rnacentral:lncRNA from 1 species